rnacentral:lncRNA from 1 species
UCUAUGAAGUUCAAAUAGACUAAGGCUCCGUUUAGAAUUAUAAAGAGAUUGUGUUACGUGCAAUAAAAAAAUAUGAUAAAAAAAAUAUUUUUCUUGUUAUAUAUAUUGCAAUAAAUCAGCAAUAAUAUAUUUUCUGUAAUUCGAUCAAAAAAAUAAAAAAAAUAUAUCUAUAUGCUUUCGCCUAUCAAAUAGAUCUUAAAUCACAUUUAACAGCCCCGAUUUUGUUUAC